rnacentral:rRNA from 1 species
CCUUCGGGCUGAGUAAAGCGGCGGACGGGUGAGUAACGCGUAGGAAUCUACCUGGUAGUGGGGGACAACUUGGGGAAACUCAAGCUAAUACCGCAUACGCCCUAAGGGGGAAAGCGGGGGACCUUCGGGCCUCGCGCUAUCGGAUGAGCCUGCGUAGGAUUAGCUAGUUGGUGGGGUAAAGGCCCACCAAGGCGACGAUCCUUAGCUGGUCUGAGAGGAUGAUCAGCCACACUGGAACUGAGACACGGUCCAGACUCCUACGGGAGGCAGCAGUGGGGAAUAUUGCGCAAUGGGCGAAAGCCUGACGCAGCCAUGCCGCGUGUGUGAAGAAGGCCUUAGGGUUGUAAAGCACUUUCAAUUGGGAAGAAAAGUUUGUCGUUAAUAGCGCCAAGCUCUGACAUUACCUUUAGAAGAAGCACCGGCUAACUCCGUGCCAGCAGCCGCGGUAAUACGGAGGGUGCGAGCGUUAAUCGGAAUUACUGGGCGUAAAGCGCGCGUAGGCGGUUUGUUAAGUCAGCUGUGAAAGCCCCGGGCUCAACCUG